UACGUAGGGGGCAAGCGUUGUUCGGAAUGACUGGGCGUAAAGGGUGCGUAGGCGGUGUAGCAAGUUAGAAGUGAAAUACCUAGAGCUUAACUCAGGUGCUGCUUCUAAAACUGCUAAACUUGAGUGCAGUAGAGGAAAGUGGAAUUCCUAGUGUAGCGGUGGAAUGCGUAGAUAUUAGGAGGAACAUCAGUGGCGAAGGCGACUUUCUGGACUGUAACUGACGCUGAGGCACGAAAGUGUGGGGAGCAAACAGG
rnacentral:rRNA from 1 species